GCUGAGGGUCGUAAUGAUGAAGCCAAGAACAUUAUACAGAGAGUUGCUAGAGUCAAUAAUGUUGACCUACCAAGACAUCUGAUGGACCUUCACAACGUCCAGUUUGGUUCUGUUGAUGGAACUUUGUCAGUAACCAACAGUAACACUGUUGAUGGAACUUUGUCAGUAACCAACAGUAACACUGCUGAUGGAACUUUGUCAGUAACCAACAGUAACACUGCUGAUGGAACUUUGUCAGUAACCAACAGUAACACUGUUGAUGGAACUUUGUCAGUAACCAACAGUAACACUGCUGAUGGAACUUUGUCAUAACCAACAGUAACACUGCUGAUGGAACUUUGUCAGUAACCAACAGUAACAUUGAACUUGUGAAUGAAACUACAAAAGAAACAAUGAUCAAGAAGACUGUUAUUGACCUAUUGAGAACUCCUGUUAUGAGGAGAAGAUCAUUCACUUUGUUUUUGUGCUGGUAAGUAUAAAAAGUUAUUGAUGAUACCAAGUUUACCCUAAUAUUUUAUAUUAGUUUAUUGUUCCUAGUAAAUAAAUCAAAUAAAUAAAAAUAUAUAAAAAUAAAUAGUAAAUCAUUGUUACUUUAAUAAGUAAAUAUUAAUUGUUGAUUUGGAAUUUAUAUGACAAACUGUAAAACAAUAUAGAACAGAUGGUAAAAUAUGGGAUAAAGUCAAUAAUAUUAUUAAAACAUAUUACACUACCAUAACAUUUAUAA